UACGGGGGGGGCAAGCGUUGUUCGGAAUUACUGGGCGUAAAGGGCGCGUAGGCGGCCUGCUAAGUCGGAUGUGAAAUCCCUCGGCUCAACCGAGGAACUGCAUCCGAUACUGGCGGGCUUGAAUCCGGGAGAGGGAUGUGGAAUUCCAGGUGUAGCGGUGAAAUGCGUAGAUAGUCGGGAGGAACACCUGUGGCGAAGGCGGCCCCCUGGUCGGAUACUGACGCUGAGACGCGAAAGCGUGGGGAGCGAACAGG
rnacentral:rRNA from 1 species